rnacentral:sRNA from 2 species
CACAAAUGCGCCUAGGGUUCCGCUUCAUUUGUAAGGGCUGGUCCGAGAGGUGCACACGGCGUCUGCCGUGACACGGAGGGAUAAAAGCCCGGGAGAC